rnacentral:rRNA from 1 species
GACGAACGCUGGCGGCGUGCUUAACACAUGCAAGUCGAACGGAAAGGCCCUGCUUUUGUGGGGUGCUCGAGUGGCGAACGGGUGAGUAACACGUGAGUAACCUGCCCUUGACUUUGGGAUAACUUCAGGAAACUGGGGCUAAUACCGGAUAGGAGCUCCUGCUGCAUGGUGGGGGUUGGAAAGUUUCGGCGGUUGGGGAUGGACUCGCGGCUUAUCAGCUUGUUGGUGGGGUAGUGGCUUACCAAGGCUUUGACGAGUAGCCGGCCUGAGAGGGUGACCGGCCACAUUGGGACUGAGAUACGGCCCAGACUCCUACGGGAGGCAGCAGUGGGGAAUAUUGCACAAUGGGCGGAAGCCUGAUGCAGCAACGCCGCGUGCGGGAUGACGGCCUUCGGGUUGUAAACCGCUUUCGCCUGUGACGAAGCGUGAGUGACGGUAAUGGGUAAAGAAGCACCGGCUAACUACGU